UGAUGAAUGUCAGGCCUCGUGCAGCGUACCAGCUGAAAGAAAACUGGAGUGGAUAUGUCACACUUGCUAUAGUCACCUCAAAGAUGGUAAAAUGCCUGCACUUGCUGUUGCGAACAAUCUCACACUCGCUGAUAUUCCAAAGGAACUGUGUGGAUUGAACAUACUGGAGAGACACCUCAUUUCCAAAUGCAUAUCAUUUGCCAAAAUUGUACCUCUUCCCAAAGGUCAACAACGAGCCAUUCGUGGAAAUGUGGUGUGCGUGCCAUCGGAAGUACAAGAGACGGUCAAUGUCUUGCCCAGACUAAGAAUACAGAGACAUAACCAUUCGCGACGAUGCGGACCUUUGCGACCCAACCCUCACUGACGAUGAGAGCAGCUCCGAUGAAGCGCAAAUGAGCGACAGUGAGUACAAUGAGGAAGCUCUGGAGGAGAUGUACAGAUUUGAAAGUGAUGCUCUGUGUGGGAUGAACAGUGACUCUCAACAUGACAACAGUGGUAACAAACAGCAACAAGAAAAUUCGGAAGACGGUGAUCAACCAAAUGAAAGAAACAACCCAGUAAGUUUUUUCAAGACUCCCAAGCUUGAGGCCAUGGCUUUUCCGGUGCAGUUUCCCACUGGUCACAACACCCUCGAUGAAGAGAGAGCAAUAAAACUCACACCAAGCAAAUAUUUCAAAACCCGUCUGUGUUGCGUGGAUGAACGCUUUGCUCGAGAUACCAACUACUUGUUCUUUGCCCAGUUUGUGACUGAAAUUUACCAGGCAACG